rnacentral:rRNA from 1 species
GACGAACGCUGGCGGCGUGCUUAACACAUGCAAGUCGAACGAAGUGGCGGACGGGUGAGUAAUGCUUGGGAAUCUAGCUUAUGGAGGGGGAUAACUACGGGAAACUGUAGCUAAUACCGCGUAAGGAUGAGCCCAAGUGGGAUUAGGUAGUUGGUGGGGUAAAGGCUCACCAAGCCGACGAUCGCUAGCUGGUCUGAGAGGAUGAACGGCCAAAUUGGGAAUGGGAACCGGCCCAGACUCCUACGGGAGGCAGCAGUGGGGAAUUUUCCGAAAUGGACGAAAGGCUGACGGAGCAACGCCGCGGGAGUGAUGACGGCCUUCGGGUUGUAAAGCUCUGUUAAUCGGGACGCGGUACCGGAAUAGAAAGCCACGGCUAACUACGUGCCAGCAGCCGCGGUAAUAC